UUCUUUCUCACUCUUCCCACUAGUCUCGUUGUUGACAAAGGUGCUGGUACUUUUUUGGAGGGAUUUCAGUUUGCAAGUUCUCUCUGUCUGAAUUGUUCUUUGAAAAUGGACUUCAUUAAUUCAAGAAUAAUGGCGGGAAAAAAGUAAAAAAAAAAAAAAUUUAAUUAUGUAAUCCAAGUCGGGGGAUGAGUUACGUAACGACCACGUGUUGAGGGAAGGCGGAUUUUGUAACGCCAUCCGGAUAUUACCAUACAGACGCACACAGCGGAACGGUAACCUCGUGUGCAACUUCAACACACACACACAAAAAGGAAAUGGUGUGACGAAUUUCGAUUUUGAAAAAGAGAAAACGAGUGACAUGAGACGACGGACAAGAGCAGACAGAAUUGUCUUGUUUCAUAGUUGCUUUUGCUUGACCUCGUGGUGCAUCUGUUAUCAGCACGGUAUCGAAUUUCCAUAUCCAAUUAAGAAGAAAAAGACUCAAUUUACACCUAAAUUGGAUAGGGGUAAAACAAAACCCUGUGCCGACAAAUAACAGGACAAAUUGAGUGUCGAAAAAGAAAAUGAAUUCAGAAAUGAGUGGGGGAGGUGGCGGAAAUGGGGGGGGGGAGAGAAAAACGAAAAAAAAAGGUAAAGUAAAGAAAUUAGAAUUUAGGAAAAAAAAGGGGUAGGUAGAGAAAACUAAAGAAAAAAAAAGGGGGGAAUCUGUUAUGAAGAAGGAAAAAAAAACCCAAAAAAAAGAAAAAUGAAACUUGUUUUGGGGUUCGGAAUUUGUUUCAUCCUCCUACUGCUGGCCAAUCCAGGUGAGAAAAUGUUCAGAUUGAGUGAGAAAGAAAAUGGCGUGUGUACACAGGGUUAUGGGACAGGUAAGGGCAUUGGGAGUUGAAAGCCUCUCAAUUCACAACGGGAUCUGACCCUGAUUUAUUUUUAUUUUUCUCCCUCAUUUUGCCCAUCACGUUUUCAACCCCUUUUUUUUUCAAUGUUAUUUUCACCUUCGAUUUGACGAAAUUUGUUUUUUGUUGUCCAUCUCACGAACGGACUCCAUUUGUUUGUUUUUAAAAAAUCAAGGUUUAGAAGCUUUGCCGGUCUGUACGAGCAACCGCGUGGGGGAGUUGUCAUGGAGCGCUCGCAGUGGCGACUUCCAUCAUCACCGAAAAGAAAAAUGUCGACCAGAGAUUUCAAACGAAAGGGAAAGGAGACAACCGUAACAAAAAGAAGAAGACAGCGUUUUUAUGGCGUAUCCCUGUCUCAUUUUUAAAUAGAUUAAAAAGAAUUUAAAAAAAUAUAUACAUAAAAACUUUUCUUUUAGAGGGGGGAAGUUGUGUGCCGGUGCACGGCUCCACGUCGCCGGCCUAUAGACCGCAAGACGCGGGCUAAACAAGUUUGAAAGCCGCGUUACCGUACACUGGGUUUUAACCUUGUAAAUAAAAAAACGAACGAAAAGUGAAAAUGUCGUCCGGAGGGGGAGCGCGGAAUAAUACAAGUCGAGGAGUAAGAGCCCGGCAUUCCGGCACCCAAUCCAUCGACAUACGGCCUUGAAAUAGUCAAGUCUCUCUCUUCUCUCCUCGUUUUCUUUUUUUUUCACUCUCUCUCUCACUAGAGAAGAUAGAAAUAUAAAUAAAAUGUAUAAAAUUGUACAUCGACAAAAGACUCCCUCCAUUCCCCCCCUCUUGAACCUUUUGACCCAACCCCCCUCCCCCGAGGUGCACAGAGUUCACGUAGAGGGCCUUUACGUCGCAAAAAAAAAAAACGUGCCAAAUUUCAUAUUUUUGAAAAUGGAGUCGUUGAUUUUUAAUACAGCAAUUUAAAAAAAAAAUGGCUUGAAAAAAUAAUCAAGAUCCAACGAGGAUUGAAGAGACUACGGUUUCGAAAGUUGAUUAGGUGGAUAACAAUUUUCUUUGCAUGUCAUCUCCACCUGAUGGAGAGAAGACACGAAGGUUGAAACGCGUACAGGAGAAAACAUCAGCGAUUCGUCGAAUGUCCGUCAACAGAGGGCCGACGCUAACGUGAAUAAUGCACGCACUGGUUAACAAAGCCUCUCGUAAUAUCUUAGCAUAUCAUAAAAUUUGAAAUGCUUCCUGUGAUGUGAUUGAAUAUCAAAGAAAAAAUUGUCAUUGAUGACGUAAACAAAUAAUAAUAAUAAUCAAAAGAAACUGAGGCCCAUUUCUAAUGACAUUCAAGUUUGUGCUUGUUAUCCAACCUUUAAUAGUUUUUUUUCUUGAAUUACUCGUUACGUCAAAACUCGUCGAGUAUAGAUUGGAAUAAA